UACGGGGGGAGCAAGCGUUGUUCGGAUUUCCUGGGCGUAAAGGGCGCGUAGGCGGCCAGCACAAGUCAGUUGUGAAAUCUCCGAGCUUAACUCGGAAAGGUCAACUGAUACUGUGCGGCUAGAGUGCAGAAGGGGCAACUGGAAUUCUUGGUGUAGCGGUGAAAUGCGUAGAUAUCAAGAGGAACACCUGCGGCGAAGGCGGGUUGCUGGGCUGACACUGACGCUGAGGCGCGAAAGCUAGGGGAGCGAACGGG
rnacentral:rRNA from 1 species